rnacentral:rRNA from 1 species
AUUGAACGCUGGCGGUAUGCUUUACACAUGCAAGUCGAACGGCAGCACGGGGGCAGCUCUCGUGGCGGGUGGCCGACGGGCGAGUAAUACAUCGGAACGUGCCCGGUUGUGGGGGCUUACGUAGCGACGGUUACGCACAUACCCCAUUCGAGCAGAGGAUGUACGCGGGGGACCAUCGGGCCUUGCGCGCUCGCGCGGGCCGAUGUCCGAUUAGCUAGUUGGCGGGGUAAAGGCCUACCAAGCCGACGAGCCGUAGCUGGUCUGAGAGGACGAGCAGCCACACUGGGACUGAGACACGGCCCAGACUCCUACGGGAGGCAGCAGUGGGGAAUAUUGGACAAUGGGCGCAAGCCUGAUCCAGCCAUUCCGCGUGCAGGACGAAGGCCUUCGGGUUGUAAACUGCUUUUGUACGGAAAGAAAAGGCUCUGGCUAAUACCUGGGGCUCAUGACGGUACCGUAAGAAUAAGCACCGGCUAACUACGUG